CGGGCAUCCAGUCCACGGUUCACAAUGCUGUUUCAUUAUGCCUCCUCAUACAAUCUCUUUUUAAAACAACAACUGAAAGGGCAAGAACGUGUCCAUUGCGGUUACAUUUACAAAACCAAGCCUGCACUUAGAACAGCUCU